UACCGCCAAUAUUUUUCUUCUUCUUCUCCUCCUCUUUUCCCUCUGGCUGCCCCUCCGCAUCGGACGGCGACUUCGAAGGCUCCCACUCACCUGGUGGAGGGCUCGGGGUGAUGCGCCAGAUGCAGCUCUUCAAUUUCCUCCGCAGCUUCUGACGCUUCAUCCGCCGAUAAUCCUGGUAGUUCAACCCCUUCAGCUCUUCAUCGUCAGAGUCAUCAGAACCAGAGCGGUGACCACCUUUUCGCCCACCGCGCUCCCCGCCACCACGCCCGCGGAAGGAGGUCGGGAUCGAGGAUUCCCAGGCAGGGCUCCGGGACCGGCGCCGCUCGAAAUCAUGGAGUCCAUUGGAGCCGUACCUCGAAGAAGGGGGUUCCUCAGCGUGGCGGCCAUUGGAGUUAUACCUCGAAGAAGGGCGCUCCUCCGUGGGGCUCCUGGAUCGGCGCCGCUCAACAUCAUGGCGGCCAUUGGAAUUAUACCUCGAAGAAGGGCGCUCCUCCGUGGGGCUCCUGGACCGGCGCCGCUCAACAUCGUGGCGGCGAUUGGAGUCGUAUCUCGAAGAAGGCGGCCCCUCAGCGGGGCUCCUAGAUCGGCGCCGGUUGAAAU
rnacentral:lncRNA from 1 species